GAUAUAAUUAACAUUCUGGGUUGCCCCCAGUUUCUAUGGAGAUGAGUCUAGCCCCUCGGGGGAGGAGUGAUGGAUGUGUAAUCUCCAAGAUAAGUAACUGACAGGACUGUUCACUUGCCUCUGACUGGCCUCCCUAAAUUGGUUCUGGCCCUCUCCGGUCUAAGAUCACACCACCCGAGGAUCUUCAUCAAGCAGAUUUGCCACAUCACUUCCAGCUUGAAAUCCUUCAGUGGUUCCUGUUAGCUCCCUCGUGGAAGCCAAGUUUCUUAGCAUGGAAGGUGGCCAUCAGCGUGUCUGAUGAGCGGUAAAGUGAAGCACCAACACGGCAUGGACAGGGAAAGGGUAUCCAAGUGGGUCAAGCUUCUCCCCACCACUGACUCACCGAGAGUGCGGCACUCAACUUCCCCUUUCUGGGGCAAGACUUCAUAUCUCAUUAAGGUGGUUGAAAGGACUCAGCCUGACAAAGGCAGCUGUGCUUCAUGUCCAUAGGAGAACUGGCUGCCAUCCCACCCAUGGGCAGCAGCACACAGCCAGGAGUGGUGUGGCCCUCAGAUCCAAGCCCCGGCUCUGCCCUCUUGGCGAAAUGCUUCUUCCAGCUGGGUCACAGUGAAAUGUCUCCUUCCAUAUAAACCCGGGGCCGUGCCUCUGCCUGCCUAUCCCAUCACCCACACUUCCUCUACAGCUUAAAACAUGCCACUUCCUCAAGACUCGGAGGCCCACCUUAGGAAGUGUGAGAUCCAUGUUGAUAACUAGCUAGGAGGCUAAUUGAAAAUAUUUUGGGGUUUGCACGUUAGCUCUGUCAAAUCAAGUAAAAAAUCAUUCUUAUCUCCCAUAACCAGCAGUUAUGCAAGUCUGCCAAUGGCAUUAAUUAAAGCACGUUCUUACUUCUCAGAGCAUUUAUCGUAAAUGAGGAACAGGCACAUUCAAGGGCCUAUUUUAUUCUCUCCAGGAGCCAGAGCCCCAUCUGAAUUAAUGCCGUAUGGCAAGAGUCUAUCCUGGAGGGCAGUGGGAAUUCGAUUCCUCGUGGGCAGAUAUUUGAGUUCUGUAUUUAUGCAGCACUCUAUGUUUCCCAGGUGUCAGCUUAGAUGGGAUAUGCCGGCCCCCAAGUGAACCUUCACACGUCCUACAUCAACACUUGAGAUUUCAAGCCUUACCUCGACCCCAUGUGGUGGGCCGAGUGGAUGGUGUCUACAGAACAAUUUUGCAUCCACUACCCUUUUCUGAUCUUCACAACAGCUCUAUGAUGUUGGUUAUUGUCCUUGUGUUGCAGAUGAAAAAACUUAAACUUGCUUGCUAUAAAAUAAGGUUGAACAAAAUUUUUGCAAAGGGUCAAAUAGCAAAUAUUUUAGGCCUUGUGGGCUGUAAGGUCUCCGUCACGUCUCUCAAUUCUAUUGUUGUGGCAUGAAAGCAGAGAUAGAUGCUGAAAAAAAACAAAA